GAUGAACGCUGGCGGCGUGCCUAAUACAUGCAAGUCGAGCGAACGGACGAGAAGCUUGCUUCUCUGAUGUUAGCGGCGGACGGGUGAGUAACACGUGGAUAACCUACCUAUAAGACUGGGAUAACUUCGGGAAACCGGAGCUAAUACCGGAUAAUAUUUUGAACCGCAUGGUUCAAAAGUGAAAGACGGUCUUGCUGUCACUUAUAGAUGGAUCCGCGCUGCAUUAGCUAGUUGGUAAGGUAACGGCUUACCAAGGCAACGAUGCAUAGCCGACCUGAGAGGGUGAUCGGCCACACUUGAACUGAGACACGGUCCAGACUCCUACGGGAGGCAGCAGUAGGGAAUCUUCCGCAAAGGGCGAAAGCCUGACGGAGCAACGCCGCGUGAGUGAUGAAGGUCUUCGGAUCGUAAAACUCUGUUAUUAGGGAAGAACAUAUGUGCAAGUAACUGUGCACAUCUUGACGGUACCUAAUCAGAAAGCCACGGCUAACUACGUG
rnacentral:rRNA from 1 species